UGCCAGGGCCACCACCCCUGGGGAGGAGCCAUUGUGCUACUCUGAGAAGCCAGGGGUGAGCCUGAACAUUCGACAGCUGCUGCUCCUAGGGAGGAGCUGGUACCAUGGGUGUCAGGCGACGACUGGCCUUGCUGCUGCUGCUGCUGCUGCUCUGGGGCUUGGGGCAGCCAGUGUGGCCAGUGGCUAUGGCCUUGGCCCUGCGCUGGCUCCUGGGGGAUCCCACGUGCUGUGUGCUCCUUGGCCUGGCCAUGCUAGCACGGCCCUGGUUCAGCCCCUGGGUGUCCCAUGGGCUGAGCCUGGCAGCUGCGGCCCUGGCACUAACCUUGCUGCCGGCACGGCUGCCCCCGGGGCUACGCUGGCUGCCGGCUGAUGUGGCCUUCUUGGCCAAGAUCCUCCAGCUGGGCCUGAAUGUCAGGGCAUGCUUAGGCCGACAGCCACCCUACACCUUUGUAGACGCCCUCGAGCGACGAGCACGAGCGCAGCCUGGCAAGGCGGUCUUGGUGUGGACCGGGCCUGGGGCCAGCGCAGUCACUCUAGGCGAGCUGGAAGCCCGGGCCUGCCGGGCCGCAUGGGCCCUGAAGGCUGAGCUGGGUGGCUCUGCGAGCCUUCGUGCCAGGGAGCCUGCUGCCCUCCUGGUGCUGGGUUCCCAGGCCAUUCCAGCCCUGUGUGUGUGGCUCGGGCUGGCUAAGCUGGGCUGCCCAACAGCCUGGAUCAACCCACAUGGCCGGGGGACACCCCUGGUGCACUCUGUGCUGAGCUCUGGGGCCCGGGUGCUGGUGGUUGACCCAGACCUCUGGGAGAGUCUGGAGGAGAUCCUUCCCAAGCUGCAGGCCGAGAACAUCCGCUGCUUCUACCUCGGCCAUACCUCCCCUACACCAGGGGUGGGGACUCUGGGAGCUGCCCUGGAUGCAGCACCCUCCCACCCAGUGCCUGCUGACCUGCGUGCCGGGAUCACACGGCGAAGCCCUGCCCUCUUCAUCUACACCUCAGGGACCACUGGCCUCCCGAAGCCAGCCAUCCUCACCCAUGAGCGGGUACUGCAGAUGAGCAAGAUGCUGUCCUUGUGUGGGGCCACAGCUGACGAUGUGGUUUACACGGUCCUGCCUCUGUACCACGUGAUAGGACUUGUCCUGGGGUUCCUCGGCUGCUUAGAUCUGGGAGCCACCUGUGUCCUGGCCCCCAAGUUCUCUGCUUCCUGCUUCUGGGAUGAUUGUCGGCGGCAUGGCGUGACAGUGAUCCAGUACGUGGGAGAGCUCCUGCGGUAUCUGUGCAACACUCCCCAGCGACAAGAGGACCGGACACACACAGUCCGCCUGGCGAUGGGUAAUGGACUCCGGGCCGAUGUGUGGAAGGCCUUCCAGCAGCGCUUCGGUCCUAUUCGGAUCUGGGAAAUCUACGGCUCCACGGAAGGCAACAUGGGCUUAGUCAACUAUGUGGGGCGCUGCGGGGCCCUGGGCAAGAUGAGCUGCCUCCUUCGAAUGCUGUCCCCCUUUGAGCUGGUGCAGUUCGACACGGUGGCGGAGGAGCCUGUGAGGGACAGUCACGGCUUCUGCAUCCCUGUAGGGCUAGGGGAGUCGGGGCUUCUGCUGACCAAGGUUGCCAGCCGCCAUCCCUUCGUGGGCUACCGCGGCCCCCGAGAGCUGUCGGAACGGAAGCUGGUGCGCAACGUGCGGCAGUCGGGCGACGUUUACUACAACACCGGGGACGUGCUGGCCAUGGACGACGAAGGCUUCCUCUACUUCCGCGACCGCCUCGGAGACACCUUCCGGUGGAAGGGCGAGAACGUGUCCACGCGCGAGGUGGAGGGCGUGUUGUCGCAGGUGGACUUCCUGCAGCAGGUGAACGUGUAUGGCGUGUGUGUGCCAGGAGGGACCCUGGCCAAGAAGUGAGCCUGAAGUUGGAUGAACAUAGCAGCAGAUGUCAGGCUGGUCGCCCUUGCUGCUCCUCCAGCUUGCCUUCCCAGAUGCACGAGUCUUCUGCUGGUGCCCCAGAGGCUGCUUCCAGGCUCUGAAAACACGGAGGCCCUGAGGGACUGCACCGUCUGGCUGCUCACGGAGCCUCCGGCCGGUGACUCUUAAGAUGGAUGACCAGCUGUGACUUCCAGUCGAAGGCGCGGCCGCAGUCACUGCAGAAGUGGCGCCGCUGGCCCGCGUGGCUCUUGCGGUGGAUGACCAGCUGCGACUUCCAGCUGAAGCUGCACCCGCACUCCUCGCAUGGGUAACUCUGGGGGCCUGCGAGUGACCGUCGCGGGUGUCGCGGAAAGGCCAGCUCCCCUUGUGGCGGUUUCUCUGUGCCUUCGCCAGUGGCUAGCCCUGGGGACUGAGAACCUGGCCUGCCUGUGUGUGUCCGGUGGUGGAUGACAAACACUGACUUCCAAUCAAAGCCGCGGCCACACUGCUCGCACAUGUAGGGCUUCCUGGGGGUGGCGCCCGGCUCCAGUCGCGUCUCUGUGGGUGUGGGCGUGGCCGGCGCUGGUGGUGUCCCUGGGCGCGCAGUGGGGGCAGGAGCUGUGGCCCCAGAUGGGCCAUCCCAGGCCGCAGGACCCGGGCCCUGGGGUGGCUGGGCCUCUGGGCAGCCCGGCAGACCCUCAUUCUCAUCUCCUGGGGGCAGGGGCAGACCAGGUGAGUCCCCGCACUCUGCACUUGUGAUGCCGCCCACCCAUCCCUCAGGCUUGUGGCUGCGGCACAAGAUCGUACCGUGUGACUCAGGACCCACCCAUCCAGGAGGAGUGGUUCAGGCUGCACGGUGUGGGGCACUCACCUGAGCCCAUGUUUCUGCAGACGCCUGCCCCCGUGAGCAGCAUCCCCAACUCCGACUGGGCCUGUGCCUCCGGCUGGUGGGGUGGUAACCCUGCCCGGGUGGGAGGCACAGUCAGGCGAGGGGUUUGCAUGAAGGAGGGGUAGGGUGGGUUCCAACAGGUGACAGGUGUCCCUUUGGAAGGUGAGAGAGCUGGGUAGGGCUGGUACCACAGAGGCCCUGCCCAGCUAGGCCUGCUGCAGGAUGGGUGCAGGCCCCAGGGAGAGGGGCGGGGUGGGGCUGGCUGGUCCUCACCCAGGGAGACCACCGUGCCGUACUUCUCCAGCAUCGCGUCCCAGUACAGUUCCUUCUGUGAGCGGUCCAGCAGCCCCCACUCCUCCUGCGGACGUGGCCCAUCACUGUAGGCACCCUGCCACCCUCCCUUGCCAUGUCUGGUUCACAUUAUUACCUGGGGGAGCCAGCAGGUUACCUACACCUCAUCGGCCCCUCUAGCUGAGAAUGAUCUUGAGGUAGGUGUUCGUAAGUGCUGGGGUCCUCCUUCAGAUCACCUGACCAAUGCUGUUGCCAGCACUCAUCCCCCCAACUACCCCACCCUGCUGAGAGGGUGGGUUUGGCAGCAUCAAAGGGACCUGAAUGACUUUAUCAAGUAGUGAACUCUCUGCCUGGGAGUCCGCCCUCCUUGUCACCUGAGUCCCAUCACCUGGGGCUUUACUGGGUCGGGAAAAAUAAUCCUCCAAGACAAGCUGUGGCAAGUCCAGGGGCACGAGAGCAGCAGCUGUGAGGAGCCACAGCUGGACAUGGAUGGUGGUGGCUGGAGGUGAGGACCCUGUGGAAAGGGUAGCCUAGCCGCUCUCCUCACUUUCUGACUGUGCCAUGGGGUUGUGAAGGGAGCCUGGAAAGACUUCUCCACCUUGAAGCACAUCUCAACCAGCAAUUCUGCUGCUGAAGCUCCCCAGUGGAGUGGCUCAGAAGCAGAGGAGACGAGAGGAAAAGGGCUCGCUACCCACACUUGGAAACCAAGUGAUCCAGUAGCAGAGACGUCAAGCUGAGCUUCCAGGCCCAACAGGUCACCUCUGAGGAAACCCCUAGGAGAGAAGGGGCUUUGGGCAUUUUACAGGAAGAGUCUCCAUCUGUUUCAGGUGUUGGGGGAAUCCCACCACAGCUGGUCUUCUCCCCUCCCCAUCUAUACACAAAAGCUCAAAUCCCCAGGUUCUGGCUCAGGACCUCUGGGAGCAGCAUACCUCCCAACUGACUUCUCUGGAGGUGAGAAAGCCAUGCCUACUAGUUCCAGCCACUCUAAACUGGGUUUCCAUGGCUGGAGGCCCAAAUCCUUUUAUUUUUGAUUUUUGACAUGGAGUUUUGCUCUUGUCGCCCAGGCUGGAGUGCAGUGGUGUGAUCUUGGCUCACUUUGACCUUUGCCUCCUGGGUUCAAGCGAUUCUCCUGCCUCAGCCUCCCUAGUAGC